GAAGGUAUAGCUCAGUAGUAAAGUGCAUGCCUGGCAUACACAAGUUCCUGGGUUCAAUACCCAGCACCUCCU
rnacentral:tRNA from 1 species